rnacentral:hammerhead_ribozyme from 1 species
AUCCAGCUGACGAGUUCCAAACAAGACGAAACGCGCGUCCUGGAU